UAGUGAUGCUUCAUGGACAAGGCUUGGCA
rnacentral:piRNA from 1 species